rnacentral:ncRNA from 1 species
CUUAUCAAGAGUGGCGGAGGGACCGGCCCUGUGAAGCCCGGCAACCUGCAUUUGCGCAAGGUGCCAAAUCCGGCGGUUUGUAAUCGAAAGAUGAGG